UACAGAGGUCCCAAGCGUUGUUCGGAUUCACUGGGCGUAAAGGGUGCGUAGGCGGUCGGGUAAGUCUGAUGUGAAAUCUCACAGCUUAACUGUGAAACUGCAUUGGAUACUAUCCGGCUCGAGGAAUGGAGGGGAGACUGGAAUACUUGGUGUAGCAGUGAAAUGCGUAGAUAUCAAGUGGAACACCAGUGGCGAAGGCGAGUCUCUGGGCCGAUAUUGACGCUGAGGUGCGAAAGCAUGGGGAGCGAACAGG
rnacentral:rRNA from 1 species